CUGACAUAAGUAACGAUAAAGCGGGUGAAAAGCCCGCUCGCCGGAAGACCAAGGGUUCCUGUCCAACGUUAAUCGGGGCAGGGUGAGUCGACCCCUAAGGCGAGGCCGAAAGGCGUAGUCGAUGGGAAACAGGUUAAUAUUCCUGUACUUGGUGUUACUGCGAAGGGGGGACGGAGAAGGCUAUGUUGGCCGGGCGACGGUUGUCCCGGUUUAAGCGUGUAGGCUGGUUUUCCAGGCAAAUCCGGAAAAUCAAGGCUGAGGCGUGAUGACGAGGCACUGCGGUGCUGAAGCAACAAAUGCCCUGCUUCCAGGAAAAGCCUCUAAGCAUCAGGUAACAUCAAAUCGUACCCCAAACCGACACAGGUGGUCAGGUAGAGAAUACCAAGGCGCUUGAGAGAACUCGGGUGAAGGAACUAGGCAAAAUGGUGCCGUAACUUCGGGAGAAGGCACGCUGAUAUGUAGGUGAAGUCCCUCGCGGAUGGAGCUGAAAUCAGUCGAAGAUACCAGCUGGCUGCAACUGUUUAUUAAAAACACAGCACUGUGCAAACACGAAAGUGGACGUAUACGGUGUGACGCCUGCCCGGUGCCGGAAGGUUAAUUGAUGGGGUUAGCGCAAGCGAAGCUCUUGAUCGAAGCCCCGGUAAACGGCGGCCGUAACUAUAACGGUCCUAAGGUAGCGAAAUUCCUUGUCGGGUAAGUUCCGACCUGCACGAAUGGCGUAAUGAUGGCCAGGCUGUCUCCACCCGAGACUCAGUGAAAUUGAACUCGCUGUGAAGAUGCAGUGUACCCGCGGCAAGACGGAAAGACCCCGUGAACCUUUACUAUAGCUUGACACUGAACAUUGAGCCUUGAUGUGUAGGAUAGGUGGGAGGCUUUGAAGUGUGGACGCCAGUCUGCAUGGAGCCGACCUUGAAAUACCACCCUUUAAUGUUUGAUGUUCUAACGUUGACCCGUAAUCCGGGUUGCGGACAGUGUCUGGUGGGUAGUUUGACUGGGGCGGUCUCCUCCUAAAGAGUAACGGAGGAGCACGAAGGUUGGCUAAUCCUGGUCGGACAUCAGGAGGUUAGUGCAAUGGCAUAAGCCAGCUUGACUGCGAGCGUGACGGCGCGAGCAGGUGCGAAAGCAGGUCAUAGUGAUCCGGUGGUUCUGAAUGGAAGGGCCAUCGCUCAACGGAUAAAAGGUACUCCGGGGAUAACAGGCUGAUACCGCCCAAGAGUUCAUAUCGACGGCGGUGUUUGGCACCUCGAUGUCGGCUCAUCACAUCCUGGGGCUGAAGUAGGUCCCAAGGGUAUGGCUGUUCGCCAUUUAAAGUGGUACGCGAGCUGGGUUUAGAACGUCGUGAGACAGUUCGGUCCCUAUCUGCCGUGGGCGCUGGAGAACUGAGGGGGGCUGCUCCUAGUACGAGAGGACCGGAGUGGACGCAUCACUGGUGUUCGGGUUGUCAUGCCAAUGGCACUGCCCGGUAGCUAAAUGCGGAAGAGAUAAGUGCUGAAAGCAUCUAAGCACGAAACUUGCCCCGAGAUGAGUUCUCCCUGACUCCUUGAGAGUCCUGAAGGAACGUUGAAGACGACGACGUUGAUAGGCCGGGUGUGUAAGCGCAGCGAUGCGUUGAGCUAACCGGUACUAAUGAACCGUGAGG
rnacentral:rRNA from 1 species